ACCCCCUAUCAAUGAACUAAGACACACCUUGUUGGUGUCAUUGAUCUAAGAUCAGUCAGGGGCAGAGCAGAUGGCCGUCCUUUGUUCAUCCUAGCUUGAUGCCUGACUUGACUCAAGCUGUCUUAUGCCUAGGACUCAUAA